UGCGAAGGGGGCUAGCGUUGCUCGGAAUCACUGGGCGUAAAGCGCACGUAGGCGGAUUGUUAAGUCAGGGGUGAAAUCCUGGAGCUCAACUCCAGAACUGCCUUUGAUACUGGCGAUCUCGAGUCCGGGAGAGGUGAGUGGAACUGCGAGUGUAGAGGUGAAAUUCGUAGAUAUUCGCAAGAACACCAGUGGCGAAAGCGGCUCACUGGCCCGGUACUGACGCUGAGGUGCGAAAGCGUGGGGAGCAAACAGG
rnacentral:rRNA from 1 species